rnacentral:rRNA from 1 species
GACAGAGGGUGCAAACGUUGUUCGGAAUUACUGGGCGUAAAGCGCGUGUAGGCGGCUGUGUAAGUCGGGCGUGAAAUCCCAUGGCUCAACCAUGGAAGUGCACCCGAAACUGCGUAGCUAGAGUCCUGGAGAGGAAGGUGGAAUGCUUGGUGUAGAGGUGAAAUUCGUAGAUAUCAAGCGGAACACCGGUGGCGAAGGCGGCCUUCUGGACAGUGACUGACGCUGAGACGCGAAAGCGUGGGGAGCAAACAGGG